rnacentral:tRNA from 1 species
UAUAGUUUAACAAAAACUUUUCGCUUACACCGAAAGAACAUCUNCUAAAAUAGAUUAU